rnacentral:rRNA from 1 species
AGUGAACGCUGGCGGUAGACCUAACACAUGCAAGUCGAACGGCAGCACAGUAAGAGCUUGCUCUUACGGGUGGCGAGUGGCGGACGGGUGAGGAAUACAUCGGAAUCUACUUUUUCGUGGGGGAUAACGUAGGGAAACUUACGCUAAUACCGCAUACGACCUACGGGUGAAAGCAGGGGAUCUUCGGACCUUGCGCGAUUGAAUGAGCCGAUGUCGGAUUAGCUAGUUGGCGGGGUAAAGGCCCACCAAGGCGACGAUCCGUAGCUGGUCUGAGAGGAUGAUCAGCCACACUGGAACUGGGCAACGGUCCGGCCUCCUACGGGAGGCAGCGGUGGGAAUAUUGGACAAUGGGCGCAAGCCUGAUCCAGCCAUACCGCGUGGGUGAAGAAGGCCUUCGGGUUGUAAAGCCCUUUUGUUGGGAAAGAAAAGCAGCAGGUUAAUACCCCGCUGUUCUGACGGUACCCAAAGAAUAAGCACCGGCUAACUUCGUG